CACUCAAUCAGGGUUCUAAUGUUAUGAGCCUGGAUUUCCAUCCUGUUCAACAAACUAUUCUUCUAGUUGGAACAAAUGUUGGUGACAUCGGGAUAUGGGAAGUUGGUUCACGCGAAAGGAUAGCACACAAGACAUUUAAAGUUUGGGACAUUGGCUCCUGUACCUUGCCAUUGCAGGCUGCACUAAUGAAAGAUGCUGCAAUAUGUGUCAAUAGGUGUCUGUGGAGCCCUAAUGGAAAUAUUCUAGGUAUG